rnacentral:misc_RNA from 1 species
AACGCACCUUGCGCUCCCUGGUAUUCCUAGGAGCAUGCCUGUUUGAGUGUCAUGAAUCCCUCAAAUCCCAAUGUUUUGUAAAAAGCAUCGCUUGGAUUUGGUUGUGGGCCCUUGCAGUCUUUCACGAAUCUGCUGGCCUUAAAGAUAUUAGCUGGACCUCUCUAAUCUCUUAGCAGAGUACUUCCAUUUGAUGUAAUAAAGUUGCAUUGGUGGAAGCUCUACUAAGUACAUAGAGCAAGUUUGCUUCUAACCCGGCGCGAGUGGCAACACUCAACCCAAUAUUUCAUAACUCUGGCCUCAAAUCAGGUAGGACUACCCGCUGAACUUAA